rnacentral:rRNA from 1 species
CGUGAGGAACCUGCCUUGGAGAGGGGAAUAACACUCCGAAAGGAGUGCUAAUACCGCAUGAUGCAGUUGGGUCGCAUGGCUCUGACUGCCAAAGAUUUAUCGCUCUGAGAUGGCCUCGCGUCUGAUUAGCUAGUAGGCGGGGUAACGGCCCACCUAGGCGACGAUCAGUAGCCGGGCUGAGAGGUUGACCGGCCACAUUGGGACUGAGACACGGCCCAG